rnacentral:rRNA from 1 species
UACGGAGGGGGCUAGCGUUGUUCGGAAUUACUGGGCGUAAAGCGCACGUAGGCGGCUUUGUAAGUUAGAGGUGAAAGCCCAGGGCUUAACCCUGGAAUGCCGGUGGAAACUGUCGAGCUAGAGUCCGGAAGAGGCGAGUGGAAUUCCUGGUGUAGCGGUGAAAUGCGCAGAUAUCAGGAGGAACACCAAUGGCGAAGGCAGCUCGCUGGGACGGUACUGACGCUGAGACGCGAAAGCCAGGGGAGCGAACGGG